UGUGUAGGCGGGUCGUUAAGUACCUUGUGAAAUCCCACGGCUCACCCGUGGAACUGCUGGGUAUACUGGCGAUCUUGGGCCAUUUAGGGGCAACUGGAACAAGCGGUGGAGCGGUGAAAUGCGUAGAUAUCGCUUGGAACGCCAAAGGUGAAAACAGGUUGCUGGGAAUGUGCCGACGCUGAGACACGAAAGCCAGGGGAGGCAAACG
rnacentral:rRNA from 1 species